ACCGAGGGAGAGGCCCUGGAUUGGAUCUCUGGCUGGGCUCAUUCAUUAGCCUUUCCAGAGAGGAACUGUUGUUCAAGCUUCAUUUCAGCAAACCAACAGCAAGUGGGUUGUCCAGCCUUCCCCUGCUUUCAAGUGCCUGAAGUGCAGCCCCAGUCAAUGGCUUCGAAGAAGUCUUAUGACAAAACAGGCAUGUGCAUGUCAGCCUCAUAAGCAAGGAAAAUGGAACGAGUCCUUUUGUCAACUAUACAGAUCAAACCAAAUUAAAAUACAAAUAUCUGUAGCC
rnacentral:lncRNA from 1 species